AUUAAGAUAGCUCACCUCACCAAAUUAUGUUAAGAUUCUAUAGAAACACCAAAUCUCGUUAGUUCAGGCAACUACAAAUCCAGAGGAGAUUCUCGGUAAAUGGAAAAAGCAGAUUGGAAUUUGUAGGUAAAGAGAGGAGGAACGGAAAGAGUCUUGAAGUUAAAGUUGGCUGGAUUGAUGCUCGACUCAUUUGAAGUUGCUAGUUUCUCAUUGUUGUCUCUAGUGAUUAGAGGAUUAACCUCUUUUUCAUCUUUCUGGGUAUAUUGUGGUCGUAAUAUAGUUGGUGAAUUAUGGAUUUGGUAGUUUCCUUGAUUUUAGUCGAUGAAUUAUGAAUUUGGUUGGAAUUGGUAGUUAGCUACUUUGAGUUGGCAGUUACUUUGAUUUGUACCAAAGAAUAGUUUAUUGGGAUGUUUAAUAUUUAAAUAGUAUAUUUGCAAUUUCUUUUCAUAAA